rnacentral:lncRNA from 1 species
UGCAUGUCUUCAAAAAUAAUCUCAGCCCUUUGGGAAGCCAAGGUGGGUGGAUCACUUGAGGCCAGGAGUUUGAGACCAGCCUAGGCAACAUAGUGAGACCCCUGCCUCUAAAAGAAAGAAAAAAAUAUUUAAAGUUGUAAGAAGUGUUUGCAAAACAUAAUUAUAGGACAAACAGGUUACGAGGAAGUACGUGUGUCAUGAUUUAAAAAUUAAGUGUUUUAUUUGGUGGUCUAGAAAAAGUAUGACCAUUUGAAAUAAAUUCAAGUGUAAAUAAUAACAACCUUUGACUUUACAGAUACGCUGAGGUUAUUUGCGGAAGGCGGGACGGAGGCGACUGAACCAUCACUGCCGCGUCUGAUUUUUGUUUCAGUUUAAGUGCUUGACUGUGGUUUCCAAAUUUCCUACAAUGAACAUGUGGGGUUUUUCAAAAAAACAAAUAUGUGAAAUCUUCCUCUGUCUAGUUCCUUCGCCUUUACUUUUCUCGAUGGUUUGUGAGCUAAGGUGGGCUUUCUACAUGGACUUGGAAUAUUUGAGGAAAGAUGGGGCAAGGAAAUAAGAAAUAAUUGCUGCUUUGUGGCAGAAUAAACUGUGAAGGCCCCCUCCUGGCCUGCUUCACCUCAACAGGCCAUGGACCCUGGCACCCAGCAGCCUACAGACAGAAAAGCCUCUUGGGAGGUCCAGGCUCUGCUCCACCCUCCCCACAGCAGCUGCCGUCACAGCUACACCUCUGUUUAUCUGCUUGAUGUAUGCGGUGUUGUGGAAAUACAUUUGAACGAAGGGCUCUGUGGAUUUCAGUGGUUUGAGAUGUUGUUGCUCUGGAACAUGAACCCAUCUUUGAUCC